rnacentral:lncRNA from 1 species
AGUAGGGAAGCGCAGCACAUGCAUGCAUGCAUGCAUGUCCCUUCCGUCGAUCUACUGAAGUCAGUGCUGUCUCUGUCUACUAGAAAUGUUCGGUGUGUGUUGAUCUAUCUUAUAUUACUAGUGUACUACUCCAGAUCUGUUGAUCUGCCGCUAGCUAGUUCCUUCUGUCGAUCCUACCGAAGUUCCAUGUAAUGCCCAAGAAGAUGCUGUGUGUGUCAAGUUAUCUUAGUGUGCUCUGUUGAUUUGCAUGUCUCUUAAUUAUGAUCUGUGAUCUAGUAUAUCCUACAACGUCAGGUUGAAGAUGGAUCUAGCAUUUGUGUGCAGCACAUUUGAGGCUGAGCAUCCAGUGUUUUUUCCGGUUCUUUCUUGUGUGACAUUGCGCUGUAAGCAUUAAUUUGCCCGUUUUUCUGUCUGGGUUCUUAGGAGUGUGUGGGCCAGAUGAUCUGUCUCCUUUACGAAAAAGAAACAACUCGUCUUGAUUUCUCGCCUCCAUCUUCUUUUGUUCCUCUCUUUACUGCAGGACAUGUCGUGCUCAUCAGCUUCUCCUCCCUGGAGUAGUGGUUCUAGUUUGUUAACAAUCUCUUCAUAGUUUUGGACAGAUGAGAAAGCAAGGAUUAAUUUCUUUUCUUUAUUAACAGAUCUUUGUAAUGGUUGACAGUUGACACUCGGUUAGCAUGCAAACGUUUCCGAAACUCGGUUAGAAUGUUUGCAUCACAAUAUUGCCGAUGUUUCUUCUCUGAAAAGGAGCGAUGAAGAAAGAUGAAAAGGAUGAAUACACCGUAGUCACUGGCUACUAGCACCAUGCCACUUGCCUGUUUUGGUGACAUUAAAAUAUGUUUCUUAAUUCUAAAAUCAGUGCUUCUUUUCUGAAUGUAGACUUGAGGAUUGUAGCCGUAUAUUUUUCCUGCUCAGUCAUGCACUCAGUUUCCAACAAAGGAUUUGAUCCUGUGUAUUAUUGCUCUAAUUGUUAACUUCGAAAAAUGUAUCAGAUCCAUUGAGCCUCAACCACAAACAAAACAUGAACAAGACCGAAAGGCCAUAGAUGUUUAGUGCAUCAGCAUUGACUAGAUUGCUGAUGCUAGUGCAAGUGUGAGACUGUUAGAACUAUGCCCUGGAGGCAAUAAUAAAAGUUGAUAUUGUUUUAUGGGACAUUUACAUUUGUGCCCAUAACUGGAACCAACUACUCAUAUUUGCCCCUAAUUUCGAAGCAUACCCAAAUCUAUCCCUCUGUCGUUAGUUGCCCUUAUAGAACUGCCCUUUUGCGUCGUUACCGUCCGAUCAAAGGGCUUUGACCAUCUCGAUAAAAUUAGCAGAAAAAUCUGAAAUUUUGUGGGAUCAAAGAUAGUUAGGUGCUUGUCAAUUUUCUUGAUGUUUAGACAUACCAGGAGCAUGUGGCAAUGGAAAACAAUAAAUCUGUACGACUGUGAAUAGUAAAUUCAAAGAAAAUAGCAAGAAAAUUCAAAAAGUACGAAAUUUUUUGGCAUCCAAGAUGCUCGGAUGCGCAAGGUGUGUGCAAUUUUUUUUAUCAAAUGACAUGCAAGGAGCUCUAGCAAAAAAACAAAAUAGUGUAUUUGUUCAAAGUUUUUUCCGAGCCAGAUUUUGUUUUUUUCGCGCGCUCCUACAAUGUCCAAGCACAACAAAAUUUUGCACACACCUUGUGCACCCGAGCAUCUUGGAUGCCAAAAAAAUUCAUACUUUUUUGAAUUUUCUUGCUACCUUUUGAAUUUACUGUUCACAGGCGUACUGAUUUACUGUUUUUCCUUCGCCAUGAGCUCCUAGAGUGUCCAAACAACAUGAAAAUUUGCACGCACCUUGCGCACUUGAGUACCUUCAAUCCCACAAAAUUUCAGAUUUUUUUGCUAUUUUUUCGAGACGGUCAAAGCCCUUUGCCCGGACAUUAAGGGCGCGGAAGGGCAUUUCUAUGAGGGCAACUAAUGGCAGAGGGACAAAUUUGGGCAUGCUUCGAAAUUAGGGGCAAAUCUGACUAGUGGAUUCCAGUUAGGGGCAAAAAUGUAAAUGUCCCUUGUUUUAUUUGCAUGUUCGUAAUUAAGUUUAUAUUUCAAUGCUAGAAUUGCAUUGGUUUUUGAAAGUGAGAUUUAGAGGAAAACCAAAUUUCAUGUUUAGAGAUAUAAACGCGAAACAGAGUUAGACCUCUGGACUUGCUCAUGUAUUGUUGAUGGUUCUGCUUUCAUGGCCAUGUGCAUAGUUAACGUAACGAGGAUGAAAAAAAUGAUCAGAGCAUGUUGUUAGGGUAAUAAUGAUGUUGGAUAGAUCCAUCGUAUUGUAUAACGCGAGUUCGUGUUGUCAAUAUGUUGUAUGUUACUCUAUAACUGGGUAAUUAUAAAGUUAACUUUUGGUAACGCAAGGAAGUAUGUCGUGGUACUAGAUAUGUGAAGACUUAAACUUGCCCCUCCGGCGAUCGAUAUAUACACUCUCAGACCACAUGGUAUUACACUGUCUGGCAUCUCUUGACCAUGUAUUGUGACUAAGGAAUUAGUCAUGUGCAUCCCGAAAUACGAUUACAAGGAAAGAGUACAAACCUGUAAUGAGGAUAACUACGUAUAGUGAUCAAGUAGUUGUCACAACGAUACAAUCAAAGUCUCCCCUCAUGUUUGGUAACGUAUGGAGAGGGAAAGGCAAUUGCAUGCGAUAAAAAAAGUUUUUUUUAUAAAGAUCUACAAUGUUAUGUGGGGAUUAUUGUGCGUGUCCAGAUCUCACUAAUAAUUAUUGACUAGAAGGUGUUACAAACUUGUCCAUGUAGUCUUGAACCUAUAGGGUCACACGCUUAAUGAUUAGCAACAUAUAGGAGUAAUAUGUGAUAAUCAAGAACAAGAUAGAAGGGGUCCAAAAGUAUUUUGAUAAUAUCAAAAUUGUUCCCGGAGGUCCCGAGAGCGUCCCAGUGAUAUCAUGUAGUGUCUCAGAAUGUUCUGUAAGGUGGCGAAAGCUCCAAUAUGUUCCAAAAACCUUUUGAAAAUUCUGGAAGGAUCCUAAUGCCACCUACCCCCUGCCUUGGGGGCAAGGCGGCCCAUAGGGCCCAAGUCGGCCAACCCCCCUAUUUCUUGGGGGGGCAAACCAACAAAAGGGGUGUGCUCCUACAAGGACUCCACCUCCAUAGGUCGGAUGAAACCCUCACCCCUCCACCUAUAUAUAGGUGUGGGCGCAUCAAGAGAAGUUUGGUACACGCACUCACCCCUAUGGACACAUGUACGAACACCCUACACAUAUAAGCAGCUUCAAGAUAUUGAGGGAAUAACAUCUUGAGAUUAAUGCGAGCAUUAGUGUCAAGAACAUCACUUGAACCCUUGUGGGCUGACUUCACCACCAGGAACCUAACCAUCUAAGCUAUGUCCAUUAUUACCUAUAGUAUUGUCACAAAUAAGACAUCACUGAUGAAGUACCACAACAUGAACCUGAUGCGGCGAUACAUUGCUGUGCAAUCCACAAACUCUUGUCGUUUCAGUCCUGUCACACUGUCCUGAUUGUUCCACAAACCAACACAAAUCAGAGAAUAAACUCUGGAAAUCAGAAACACGAGUGCCAUAACCAAAAAAAAAUCACCCGAGCAAUAUUUAGCAAAUCCCUUCGGUACCAUUAUUUAGAUUGGAGCUUUUCAACUCCAUUUUGAGAUUGACCACAUUUAAAUUUGGACUUAUCAGGUGAUUAACUUUGUUUUUUUUUUGCUUGAGAAACACAAUGCAGACAUAGACACUCACAUAUAUGCAUGUACAAUUAUAACCCUAUAAAGACACACACCACUGGCACUUGGGCACAUAGGUGUCAAACAUGUAGUUUGAUCCAUGGUGUGCUAGGGGUACAACCAUCCGCCUAAUCAUCCAACCACAAAAUGAUUCUCGGUAUUGGCAUAAUUAUGGGUGGGUUUGCAAACUGAAAAAAAAAAGCAUGCUCUACCUUUGUCUAAUCAAACAGCUCGCCAGCCAAAUAAAUCUGGAAUGGAGGGAUAACAACGGUCGAUCCUAUCCAUCUUUAUCCAUGAGGUUUCAUCCUGAUGAUGAUAUAGAGCAUGUGGGUAAUCUCAAAAAAAAAUCUAUAGCAUGUGAGAUUUUAUCUUUAAUGUCCUGCUACCAAAGAUUUGCCAUCGUGGAUAAUUUCCUAAUUAGCAUCCUUAUAUUAGCCACCUUUGGAAUCCAAUAAUCUUAUUCUAAAUUUGGGAGCCUGUCUUAAAACUCAUCCUUAUCUUUGAGGAGUCAUCCGGAUGAUAUCAUGAUUUGACCACGAUUUUAUAUGGCACGUUGUUAAUGCUCCAAUUGAAUUCCUUCCAUCUGCGUUAUUCGGGAAACCUGCUGCUCAGGACUACAAAUAGGAGGGAGCGAGCAAGACAUCCAUACCACACUCGUUUCUCGCAUCACAAGGUCGUUGGCCCCGUAGCACAAGCGAGUUCAUCACAAAACCAGCUGCAAAGGCUCGACGGCGAUGGCUUCCAAGAUGGUCGGCGCCCUCUUGCUGGUCCUCCUGCUGGCGCUCAACCAGAGCGACGCCCAGGUGUUGCCGACCCCCUGCUGCAACCUCAAGUGCUGUGGGUACGAUUGCUGCGGGCCCCCGGUCACAGCCACGGCACCCAUUUCGCCAUUCUCCGCCGCCCCCGAAGCAGGACCGGCCGGCCCGGUUUCGCAGCGCGUGCUCCGCAAGGUCUUCCCCGGAAACUAGCGAUGUUCAGAUGCAUGUAGCGAUGCCCCCCGUGACGUAUGAUUCCAUUGCAAGUGUGCUACUGGCACCUAGCUAGUUUCGCUGGUAUUACGUAUUAUUUUUAGCUUGUAUUCCUGAUUUGUUCUGUUCCAUCGAAACAGCAAUAUAGGAGUUUAUAUCCUGCAGUAGCAUUCCAAUUCUACAGCUAUAAUGUGUGUGCAAUGAUAAACCAUGUUCGAAACACAAAUAAUCCACCCAUCCUUCAGAAGAACAGAACGCAUAAUCCUCCAAUUAAAUCUGCCGAACCUGAAUCAGCUAUAGCUGCUCUAGUCUGGAUCAGUCCUUCAUCUCGGCUGCCUUCUCGUCUCCCAGAACAAUAUUGUUUCCUAAAAAGUAGUCAUACAUGUUCCCUUUAGGUGGACAAAAUUCAUAACCGGUUUAGCAACUGCGCCUACUAAAAAUAGCUUAGGAUAGGUUUUUACCCCUUUUUCUUGAAAAAAAUAUAUUUUUGAAUGUGGCCUCAGUGCUCAUACAACCAUAAGGCGUUUGAAUGUGGUCAAUCCCAAGGUUUCCCCAAAAAAGUUUUUGUCGAAGUGUGCAUGCGAGGUUAUAGAUUGUUUUGUCCCUAAUGUGAUUUUGUUGAUGUGUUGAUUUCCAAUCUGGAUCUACAUCGGUACGAAACAAAGGCGAAUUGUGAGCUAUUGAUUAAGGUUGCAUACUAAAUAACACUUAAAAAUGUUUCACAGCUAACCAACAUCAUUUGAAAAUUCUACACAUUUUUCUAAUCAACUUUUCAUAUAUAACAUGUCAAAAUUGAAGUUACGGUUCUUAAGUUAUUGAUACUUUUAAAAAGUAUUUGAAUCUGCCCCCAAAAUAUAAUGUUAUUUUCUAGAUGGACUAAGGGUUUAUUAAAUGAAAUAUCAGGGAGUUUUAUACAAAAAGUAAAACAUUUUCUGGUGUCACUUAAAACAGGAUUGUGGGUUUACCAUUUUCAUUGCAAAAAGCUUUUUCUUUGCGGGAUGAUAGCCAUGCACGUUCCCUUUAGAUGGCCCAAAUUUAUGGCCGGUUUAGGAACUACGCCUACUAAAAAUAGCUUAGGAUGGGUUUUAACCUUUUUUUUCUUGAAAAAAAAUAUGUUUUUGGUUCCUCAAAUUUGCCGAAAUUAUAGAUCUGGUCCGUCAAAAAAUGUAGAAACAAAACAUAUAAUUUAAAAAAGUUAAUCAUAUACUCCCUCCGUCCCAAAAUUGUUACAUCCGUAUCUAGACAAAUCUAAGACAAGAACUUUGGGACGGAGGGAGUAUAUAAGAAAGGUCAAAACUAUAUGUAAAAUGUUUUAGAUGUAUACUAAAAAUGUACAAUAUAUGAAAACAAUAGUUAUCAAAACAUAUAUCUGAAAAAAUGGUAAUCAUUUAUUUGAAAAAAUGUUAAACAUAUAUUAAAAAAUGUUUUACAUAUAACUAAAAUGUUUGAUGUAUAAAAAAUAUAUAAUAUGUACAAAAAUGUAGGCAUGUGUUUAAAAAAUAAAAAUAAUAAGAAAGAAACAAAGAAAACAGAAAAGGAAAACAAGAAAAUCGGAGAAAAAGUGCAAAAAAGAAAAGGGAGACAAGAAAAAAUUUGGGAAAAAAUGGAAAGGAACAAAGCAAAGAAAACGAAGAAACAAAUCAGUGAAAAUCGAGAAAGAAACAAAUAAAAUGGUAAACCGCAAAGUAAAAAAGAACAACAAAGAAAACCGACAAAGAAACAAAUAAAACUGGAGUAAAACAAAGAUAAAAAGUUGAAACAGUGAAAACCGAUGCAAAAGCAGUGAAAAACAACCAAAAACAAAAGCAAAGAAAAACAGUAAGGAAACAACAGAUAAACCGAGAAAACCAGUAAAGAAAACAAGAAACCAAAGCAGGGAAAAAUCGAAACAAAACAACAGCGACCAAACGAAACGCAUGACCGGGAAAACAGCAACGCCCGAAUGAAUGUACUUAGCCGACGCAUACGCGUGGGUGUUGUGGGCGAGGGGAGCUACCAUCUCGCUAUAAGUGAGAUAUAGCUUGUGCGGAAUUUUCUUACUAAACACUAGUAUUCCUCCCGACGCGUUGCGACCCUAUUCGCUGUCCAAUAGGCUUUGUAAAUAAUUAUUCUGGUUAUAAAAGCAUACGGGAAAUAGAGGAUGCUCCUUCAUCUCAAUAAAAGUGCUCAUAUGGCAGGCCCACGUGCCAAAGUGAAUUUUUGAAAUAUUCUUCUUUAUUUGAUUAAGUAGAGGGAAUCUACUGUUAUCACCCUUUGCAUGCAUGAAUUCUCUUGUGGAUAGAGUCGGGCGCACCAUAAGACUAAAAUGGGCACACGCCCCAAACAUUCAUGAUGAAAUUUGAAUGGUAGAAAACCAAAGUACUCCUUCCUUUUUAUUUACUCUGCAUAUUAGGUUUAACUAAAGUCAAACUUAAGUUUGACCAACUUUACAAAAAAAUAUACUUUUACCUUAAUGAAAAUAUAUGAUGUGAAAGUACAUUCAAUAGUGAAUCUAAUGGUAUUAAUCUGUUAUUGUAUAUGUUAAUAUUUUUUGGCCGUUUUUUCCUUACUGCUUUUCUUUGCUCGAAACUUCUAUUGCACACUGGCACUUGAUUUGUUUAUAAACUUUGUCAAAGUUUAUUAGCUUUGGUCCAUAUUAGCUUUUGUUCAACCCAGCUCGAAACUUCACUUGAACACCGGCACUUGCUUAAUUUUGCCUGCUAUGAAGUUAGAUACUGAACUAUGGCAGGAUAUUUGCACAGUUCUGUGGUAUUGAGUCUAUGAGAUUUUGCAGAUGGUGCGAUAUGGCUUCAAUCUGAACGUCCCUCCAUAUCCGUGAGAGUAGGGAAUCUCUAGCUGUGAACACUACCUGAAUCAUACCCUACGCCGCGGCAAAGGGCCUAAAACACUCGGCAAAGUCUUUGCCGAGAAUUGUUCUCGGCAAAGUCUUUGCCGAGAAUUGUUCUCGGCAAAGGCCACUCGAUGUCCCACGUCCAACGCCGAGUGGAUGCUUUGCCGAGAUCUCCUCUCGGCAAAGCUAACGAUUAGCAAACCAGCCACGUGUCCACCACCUGACUGGCGGGUCCCACUACCUAUGCCGAGCAUCAACUUUGAAGAUUAUACAAUUUCCACUUUACCACUAUUUAUAAAAAUGUAGUCAAUGUUAGAAAAGUUUGACUGUGUCAUUCUACAAAGUAUAUUCUUUCACUAUGGCGAAUAUAGGGGGAACUGCAGAAUCCUCAAGCAGGAUUUUCAUGGGAAAACCCCAGCUUUCCUCUGGUUCUGUCAUCCUCUCGAUUCCUGAUUGUGUGGGCAUGAUUCAUAACAAGAGCAUCCUUAUGUACUCCUCAAGGACGGGGAGCGUCUGCCCUUCGCCGUAGCCAAAGAGGACCCUCACCAUCCUCGCGAGGUUUAGCGAGAUCCGGGUCAUGCUGGGCGGGAAUGUCCUCCUGGAGAAGCACUCCCUGUUGAGCUCCCCCCACUCACUCUCGAUCAGCGCCAGCAUAUGCCCCUUCGCGUCGCCACCGGGGUUCUCUUUCAGGUACAACUCCUUGUAUGAUCCGUCCAGGCCAUCUUGCGCUUCGUCCUGCAUGGUGCAAGAAUGGUGAUCAUGUUAUGGUAUCUUAAACCAGUGGGGCUAAGAUUCAUUAGAAAUUCUAGGUUUCUAAUUAAGCAGGGGGGUAAUUUCAGCAGUUGGAAUCUGACCUUGGCACUGCCCAUGUCAUCCCAAAGUCUCAAGAUCUUUGACGGGCAGGAGAUUAUCGGAGGGAUACGGCCGGCCGUGAGGUUUGUAGCAUCCCUUGUUGGAUCAUGUCCUAGCAUGGAAAAGAGAUGCACAAGUGCAAGUGGUCCUCCUGUAGUGAUGACGCCGUUCGAUAGGUAGUCAUCUAGGGAAGGAACAUGAUUAGCAGACAACCAUUUCGCCUCAAGCAAAAAUGCAUCGAAAAGCAUGGCCCACUGCAAAAGAAAAAUGAAUUCACUAUUUUCAGUUGAUUAUUAUUUUCCUUUUUUUAAUAUAUUUAUACAUGAACUUAAAUAUUCUCAAAUAUUAUAUAUUGGAUAGAUACAUAUGUUGCUCGUCCAACAAACAAUUUAGUUGGUUAUCUAGACAAAUCAGGAAAUCUAAAAGAAUAAAGAUAUUCCAAGAGACAUACAUCUUUUUUGAGAUGAUCAAUAGGGUUCAGCCCAUGUUCUCUUUCAGCCAUAUCUGCGAUGUCAUUUGUGAUUGUAUAAAGAGAACUGUAGCAUGAUCUCAUGUAGCUUGGAAGUGAUGCAGCAGCUGCAAGAUCCCACCUGUAAGAAAUGCAUUUUCUAACAUGAAAUUUCGGUUACACAAUACUGACAGUUACUGUUGAUCAUAAACAGCGAGAUGAAUUUAUAGUAGCCAGAAAGGAAAAGCCUACGUUCUGAUUGCCUCGGUGAAGCGAGAAAGCUCCUCUUGUGUUGCAACAACAUCAAAGAUGUCAUCCACAAUACUGACAAUUGCAAUGAUUUUGGUUAUCUCAAUCCGGUAUCUGGAGAAGGAUUGCCCCUGGAGGAUAGUCAUGGGAAACAUGUACCAUUUAAGAAUUUGGUCACGCGUAGCUGGUAUUUCUUGAGCCAAUCCCAGGCCCAUCCACCAUCUGUCACAAUGACAUUUAGAAGUUAAAGAAGAAAUUUGUCAAUACCCCCAAAGAUAGGUAUAAAAUGGAGAAUGUUAUCUAAUGUGAAGAUGGUAAAUCAACUUGGAAGACAGAUUAGGUACUAAUUUUCAACUCAGUGGUCUUUGUGAUGGACCUGAGAAGAAACAAAUGCUCUAGCCACAUUCCUCUUCUGGGAGCUGCAGAUAAAACAUAAAGUUUGCAAGGAAUGAACUUAUAUAUGUACCUCUUAACCUCUUGCAUUUCCAUCUGAUGCUGCAACUUGUUAAGCUUGAAGUCUGCAAGUGCCAGCUCCUCCAUUGCAGUGUUCCGAGUGGGCAAGCUCUGGAGAUAGCUCAGGUGGUGUCUAGCCUUGUACUGCAUCAGGCUCACAUGGUAGGGAUGAUCCAGUGAAUGCCUCACAUAUCUUGCAAGGUUUAGGUCCAAGUGUUUAAUUGCAGAAGUGAGGUGUUUCCUUGAGAAGUCAUUUGCCUUGUAUAGUGAUGCUUCUCCCAUGUUCAAGUGUGAUAUGUCCUGCAAGCUGAGCAACCCUCUGAUGUCUUUGGUAUGAUCAACGUUGAAGUCCUCGUUUUCAUUGACAAACUUUUGAAGAACCUCAUCUACCACAUCAAGGAUAAAGGUUUUUAGGAAUAUAAACUGUGGUUGCAAUAACAGGGCGAAAAUAAAUUUUACUUUCAGACACACAAGGGGUUGAGACAAGGGGAUUCCAUGUCUCCUCUCCAAUUUAAUAUAGUGGCCGAUAUGUUGACCAUUCUUAUAGGCAGGGCCAAGCAAAACGGUCAAGUGGAUGGGCUAGUACCUUGUUUGGUCGAUGGGGGAGUCUCCAUUUUACAAUAUGCUUACAACACUAUCUGUUCAUGAAACAUGACAUUGCAAAAGCGCAAAAUAUGAAACUCAUAUUAUGUCUUCGAACAUUGUCUGGAUUAAAAAUAAAUUUUCACAAGAGCGAGUUGUUCUGCCUUGAAGGCCAAAGAAGAGCAAGACACAUAUAGACAAUUGUUUGGGUGUGAAUUAGUUUCUUUACCUUUCAGCUAUUUGUGCAUACUGAUUCAUCACCGUAAGAUAUCUAAUAAAGAAUGGAAGUGCAUUGAAGAUCGAAUUGAAAAAUAGCUUAGUUGCUGGAAGGGCAAGCUAAUGUCGUAUGGAGGUCGGCUAGUGUUGAUAAACUCAGUACUUACUAGUAUGCCGAUGUUCCUAUUAUCUUUCUUCGAGGUACCAAAAGGGGUGUGGAAGAGACUUGACUUCUUUAGAUCUCGAUUCUUCUGGCAGUCAGAUGAGGCCAAGAAGAAAUACCGUCUCGCACGAUGGGAUAUUCUAUGCCGACCCAAGGACCAGGGGGGUCUCGGUAUUGAAAACCUGGAAGUUAAGAAUAAAUGUCUUAUGAGUAAAUGGCUCUACAGGUUAGAGACAGAGCCGGAGGGUAUGUGGGCAUAGAUAUUACGCAAUAAAUAUCUACAAUCAAAAACGCUAGCCCAGGUCACCGUGAGACCAACUGACUCGCCAUUCUGGAAGGGAUUCGUGUGAACGAAAGAUUUGUUCUUUCGUAGGGUCAAAUUCGUGGUUGGCAAUGAGAUGUCAACAAGAUUUUGGGAGGAUACGUGGUUAGGGGAGACGCCACUAGCCAUACAGUACCCCACCCUAUAUAACAUUGUGCAACGUAAGGAGGAUUACAUAGGCACCAUACUUCAAUCGACUCCCUUGAAUAUUCAGUUCAGACGUGCGUUAGUUAGUGAGCGAUGGACUACCUGGAUGCACUUGGUCCGGAGAUUGAUAGAUGUUCAACUAUCCGACCAACCAGAUUCGAUGCACUGGAAGUUAGCCAGAAAUGGGGUGUUUACGGUGAAAUCUUUUUACAUGGAUCUGACUAAUUCUGGACCAAUCUUGAGAUCGUUACAUAUUUGGAAGGUUAAGGUUCCCUUGCGUAUUAAAAUAUUUAUGUGGUUCAUUCACAAACAAAUGAUCCUAACCAAAGAUAACUUAAUAAAGAGGCGGUGGGUAGGUAGUUCACGUUGUUGUUUUUGUGAUCAUGUUGAAACAAUACAACACUUAUUCAUAGAGUGCCCAUUCGCGAAAUUGCUUUGGAGAACGAUCCAUAUAGCCUUUAACAUCACUCCUCCAGUUGACAUUGAAUUGUUAGUUGGGACGUGGUUAGCUGGGGUGGAGCAUAUUACUGCGAUUGAUAUUCGGAUUGAAAUAUGUGCGCUUCUUUGGGCUAUAUGGAAUUGCAGGAAUGAUAUGAUUUUUAACAGACAACCUAAUCUAACUUUCUUGCAGGUCAUCUUCAGAGCUACUGUAUGGAUCCGUACGUGGUCCUUACUCACUCCUACGGACUUCAGGGAGCCUUUGGUUACUAGGUGCAACCAGUGGGAGAUGGUAGCACGGGCUAUAUUCAACCAGUUCAGAUGGCGGUUGCAUAACAAGAUAGGAGUCUAGGGAGCUUGUCCUUUACAUUGUCAUACCUGUUGUAAUAUUGAACAUUCGCUUCUUUUUUCCUUUUUCGCUCCGCUUGCGAGCUGUAAUACUUUUAUGACUUUGUGCUACUUCGAGACUUCUUAAUAAAAUGGCUGCAUGCAUCAUCCGAUGCGGAGGCCGGGGCCGAGCCUCCAUUUUCAAAAAAGGGCAAAAAUAAAUUUAAUUCGAUAUGUGGAUUAGUCACAACUAGCUAGAACAACUUCUGGACCCUGACAAAAAAAGCGUACUAUUCUGCAUGACAAAUUCAUGACCAAUGAAUCAAAAGCCCUCGAGAAGGUCGCAAAUCCUCAGAGUUCCCACAUCCUCUAGACCAGUCAUUCCUCUACGCAAGGUCAGUCACCACUCACCACGCACCACCACAGGAGAGUGCCAGCAAGCCAAGAUUUUAGGUGUGACAGCCAUUGCCGAGAAGGAACAUGCCCCACAUGGCAAAGUUUUUUAUCUUUUUAUAGUAAAUUAUGAUUUUGAACUAUCUUAUAAAUCUUGUACUGAAUUUGAAGACCAUGAACAGUAAAAAUGACUUGGGCCCAUGAACACCGUAAACAAAAUGAGGGAUCAUUUCUAUACUAUCGAAAAAUAUAUGAUAAGUGUACUAACCUGCUGAAAUAUCAUAUCCAUCUUCUCUCAGUAGCCUGAAGGAAAGUGUUGCAUCUAGUAGAUCAUCACUGUCAACAAGAUUCAAGCACGCAUCCAUGCCAUCAUUGAUCUCGUUUUGGAAAUAGUGGUCGAUGCAGAGGCGCUUGAGGUGAUCAAUAUCAGUCAUCACCUUCCUCUUUUCCUUAUGGUUUUGAUGCAGCAUUUCCUUAACACUCUUCAGGCCCUCCUGUUAUUCCAUGGAGAGAGAAAAAAAAUUAAAAUGCAAAAAUGGGAGAUAUGGGAGACUUUAUGUUUCACUUUGCGAGGCUAAUUCUUCUAUUCAUCAAAGGGGAAAAAACAGGCUACUUUCCUAUCUUCUCCAAGGCUUAUAGCAGCGCAGUUAGUCAGUUCUUUUCCGAGUAAUUCAGUUAGUCAGAAAUUUAAAUGGUUAGAAAAAAUAUAUCUAAUUCAAUAACAAGCCUUAAAGUCACAUUGGAGAACUGAUGGUGAUGUGAAUAAAUUUCUACCAAGAAUAAAAGCUCUCAGUUCAUCUUGGUAGUCCAGAUAAAUAGGGGGUGUCUGCUAAGUCCAGAUGAGACGUGCGGAGGCUGGUUAAGCCGGAGAAAUAGAAAAACUAGGGCGUUUGAGCGCCAGGGGUACGCGGCUAAGUUUUUUUUACCGGAGCUGGGAGCUACCUGUGGAGAAUCUACCAUUCACUUGGUUUCUCUGAGAUUCGUGCCAGCCUUUUGUGUAUAAAGUAAAAAUAAUUUGCUAUGCAAUACAGACAUUAGACAAAGGAAUACAUCUAUGCAUGUGAGAUGUGUGACAACUUUUGAUGUGACAGGACUGGGUGACUGAUGAAGAGGACGGCGCAUGGGUUCUCUGCCCCAAACAAAAUAGUUGCAUUUUAUUUCCUGGUCAUAUUUUGAAUGGUUAAUAACUAUGAACCAAAUUUCAGUAAUUGAAUUUUUUUUGUACAUUUGAAGUCAGGGUGAUAAGACCUUUAAAACAAGACCGGUCUUGAAUACAAUUUGGCUAGAUUGAAUUUUACUGUUUCAAUUAGUUUCACAUUGCAAAAAGUACGAUUUUAUUCAUUUCAAUAAACAGAGUUUACUCAUUCCAAAAAAAAUAUUUCACUACUUUGAAAAUACAGAUUUCACUCAUUUACAAAUUGAUUUCAUAUAUAUAUCAAUAAGCUGGUAUAUAAUUUUUCAGAAAUAUAAUAUUUCAAGAAACUAAUUUCAGAAAACAUAUUACGCUCACUCAAUUGAAAUACUAUAUUUCACUUGUUUCAAAAAAGUGAUUUCACUCAUUACAAAAGAUAGAUUUCACUCAUUUUAGUAGUUUCAGAAAACUACUACACUCACAAUAUACACACUGAAAUAAGCGGUUUCCCUGAUUUCACUCAUUUGAAAGUACAAUUUUUGCUUGUUUCAUUUGAAAAGAAGUGCUUGAAUUAUUUCACUCAUUUUAGAGGACCGAUUUCAGUCCUUAUAAAAGAUUGAUUUUCAAUCGUUUUGACUUAAAAUAUAUGUUUCAAUUCCUUGAAAUGAUUUAUAUCUAUGAACUUAUGAAUUUUAUUUUUUGGACUAAGUGAAAUCUAUAAAACGAGAUAUUUUUUUGAGAAUGUGAAACACCUUAUUUUUAAAUCUAGUUGAAAAAUAUUCAAUAUUGAACUUGUUCUGUAUAUCAUGUUGCAAGGAAUUUGAAUAUAUAUAAAAAAUUCAGUAAUGGAUUUUUGUGAAAGACAGUGACCAUCUAAAAUUGUAAGCAAAAAUAAAAAGAUGCAUUUGUUUGAAAGGGCAGAGAGAGGAAAGAAGUUGCAUGCAUGCGUACGGUAUGCUGACAGAAGUAGUACCUGUAGCUGACAUACUAGUGCAAAGUGGUGAAAAGAGGUGGGCCAGCCAUCUGACAUACAACAGUGUUAUACAAGAGGUGGGUUAUGAAAAUAAAAAUGCUAUACUAGAGGUGGGCCACAUAAAUGCACGAAACGCAAACAAGACGAACGAUGGAUGCAUGGUUUGCCGGUACCUCCAGGAACCGGUAAAAAGAGGUUUGCGCGGGGGUACAUCGCCCCAAAAAAUUUCUCUUGUCUCGUGCACUUAUUCUUCUACCUUCGUAUAGGGUUAGACCCAACAGCCCAAACUUCGCGUGCCCAUGGCCACGAGGAACGAGGACGGCCGCGCGUUGCUGAUGGCCAGGAGGGGGGACUCGAUAUGGAGGAGAGGGAGGGAGGACGAGGAGACCGCAUAAGGCGCUGGAUUUGAGAGAGGAGAGAUUUUGGGGAGAUGAGACGGGAGAAUGGAUUUGUGUGAUUUGGAAGAGUCGAGGAGAAAGUGAGGGGAGAACAAAGAAUAGAAACCAAGGGGGAGAUAUUUUCUUUUUCUUUUUUUUAAAUCAAGAUAUUCUCUUUCUACUGGUGAUAAGGGCAUCUUCAACGGUGAACGCUUGUUGAGGCUUUUACAUGAUAGGAAAUGUACGGGAAAUGAUUGGGAUCAGCCGACGGAUAACGACGCGUGUGAUCCACCGCCACUGUGGCCGUUAGAUCAGGUUUUAAUCAGAUGGCUAGAAGCAACGUAUUACCUAGACUAGUUUUUGCAACUAAAGUCGUUCUUGCAAUCUCCCCCGCCGCAAAAACUGUUGUGUUGUGGGAUCUGGAUCCCCUCGACAUUGGCCACCACCCGUGCACCUCGCAAGAUCCCCAUCAAGCCAACUCUGUCUCGUGCUGCUUCGACCGCCGUCAUCGACGUUCGCCACCGGCAGCAUGCCGACAAGGUCGCGGGCGUGACCGCAGCCGUUGCCGCCCACCUCCACCAUGAAUGUUGGACGUCCUGGUGCGCCCGAACUCAAGCUGCAUCCCGCCGCCCAGUGGGAGCACCAGCAUCUGUGUCCUUGGGGGGGAGUUACGUCCACCUUCGCCCCACCGUCCCGAAGGAGCACCAGCCUUUCCUUAGGUCGACAUGGUCGAUGCUCUCUACAACCAGUUUCAGCAAUAAGGUAUGUUGCAAAAAAAAACUGUAACAAGACCUAUGUUGCAAAAUAAAUAGAUUUCAACAAGACCUUUGUUCCAAAAAAAAAUGCAACAAGACAUCUGUUGCAAAAAAACUGUAACAAGACAUAUGUUGCAAAAAAUAAUCGGCAACUUGAGCUAUGUUACAAAAAUUUCCGUAACAUAACCCCAACACGACAUGUGUUGCAAUGGUAGAAGGUUAAUCUUGGGCGCUCCAGAUUUGACGGCUCGUAAGGCGGCAGAUCUUUUAAAAAGAUCCAUGGGCCGACUGUGUAGGGUGUCCAUCCCUCCAACGCCAAUAGCAAUCUAUAGAUGGCCCAUGAUUUAUGAAAAAAGAAAAAAAGAAAACAGAAGCGCUCGAUGCCUUGCGCGGCAUUGACGCAAGCGAGAUUCCCUGUCUAGGGUGGGAAUCGGGCAUAACUGCCGGGAAAUCAACCUUGGUGUCGAUCGUUAGCAUCCGCGUUGUAAAUGCCCUAGGAGGAUGGAUUUGACCCUAAAGAAAGAUGGAUUUGGAUUUGGUUCCAGAUGUUACAAAUUUCUGUUUGGAAAUUCGGGGCCGCUCCAAUAUCCGAAAUUUGAAAAGAGUUUCAGAAAACAUAAUUCAAAAGAAUAAAAUAUGACCAAAAUCCAGUAGAGUUUUUGAAAACCGUGCAUCUUUGGUAAAAUGAAUCAUGUUCAUUGGAAGGGUCAACUUUCCAAGGGGCGUGCUAUUUGGCGGGCGCCCGCCAAAUUCCAUACUCAGCGGCCAAUCAAGUUUAGAAGUGAAUUUUUUCUUCAAAAAAAGUUUAGAAGUGUUUUUUGUUUAUUAUUGAAAUAAUAAUUGACAGAAAUAAAAGUAUUUUGGUUGUUUUUCUGUGAGGAAAUUUUGGUUGGGCUUCAUAGAUUCGCUAGUAAAAUCCUUCCAAAUAACAACCGUGUAAGCGAUAGUCUGGUUGCAUACCCCUUCGCUCUUGUACGCCAGGGCACCCUAUGCGCCUCCGUCGAUCGAUCUCGUGGUCUUAGUUCCAAGGAAGCGCGGUGGAUCUCGGCAGUUGCCGGCGGGAGGGCUUUGUUUUCAGAUGGUUUUUUAGUUUUGUUAGGCUUUGUGUACUACUCGGAGAGGGGAGGCGACGGCUCUCAGAAGAUGGAAUAAGGUCCUCCCAGCCUAACCCUCAUCUGGGUGGUGUUUCUAGCAUCAUCGAAGGGCAUGUGAAGGUUUCUCUCUGGCGGAUCUCAUGGGAUUAAGUCGGUGUUUGUCUUCCUGGAUCCACGUGGAUACGAUCUUCAUUCGUUUGUGUUCAUGUGCCUGCAAGUUGGAUCCUUCUGAUCUACACAUCUCUUCAUCGGCGGCGGUUGUUGACCUAGUGCGCUGGUCCAGUGGGGCUUUAUCAUGACGACUUCCCGACUGUCUACUACAACAAGAUUUGUCUGCCUCCCAUGAGGGAGGGGCGAUGACGGCGGCAUGCCUUCGGCUUGUUCCAGUGCAUGUAGUCGUCGCUAGGUGGUCUACGAACCUGGGUGUACUUUUUACUUCUAGUACUAUGUACUACGUUAACAGUUCAUGAAUAGAUUGAAAGUUUUUCACGCAAGAAAACCGUGUAAAAAAACAAAGUAUUGCAACCAGCGGCAGCUAGUAAUUUUUCUUAUUUUAGCAUAUAUGUAGUCUCUCUGUUCACGGAUAUAAGAUGUUUGAACUUUUACUGAGUCGGGUGUAUAUAGACAUCAGGGACGGGCCCAUAGUUGUGCGGGACUGUAUGGCCCACACAGGGCCCAUAGAUUUUGGGGGGCCCAAAUUGGUAUAAGGCCUAUGUAUAUUUUCUUCCUGCCGCGUCCAAGCGGCCUGCUCGAUGCCCCCCAAACGGGAUCCAUCGCAUCCUAUCCAGAGCUGGAGUUCCUAUGCGCCGCUCGUUGCGUGAAAAAUCCCCAAAAAGUCUGCUCGAGGGAGGGAUCAAACCAGGGACCUCCUGUUGCUUAUGCGCGAGCCUAGCCAACGGGAUAGAUGAGCUUCUUCGUGUACUAUGGCGUGUGAAGCUAAUGGUAAUAUAGAUCCGAGCAUUUUGUCAAAUUCUGAAGGCGAACAUUAUUUUGGAAAUAUGUUUUUUCAAAGGGACCACUUUUCAACUUUGAGAAGAAGAAAAAAAGCUCGAACAUUUCUUGAUAAACUGAACACUUUUUUGAAAAUGGCGAACAUUAUUGAAUAUGUGAAUAAAUUCUCAUUAAAGGCGACAUUUUUUGAAACUCUGGACAAUAAUUUGGAAACACGAAUAGUUUUGGAAUCGGUCAACAAUUUUUGAAACAAGAACAUUUUUUCAAACUCAGGACAAAAUUUGAAAAUGAAAACAUUUUAUAAAAUUCGAACAUUUUUUAAAAUUUUGAACAUUUUUUUAGAAAUAUGAACAGUUUAUCAAAUCAAGAAUGUUUUUUAGAACUCUGAUAUAUUCUAAAAAGGAAAAAGGAACAGGAGAAAAUAAGCAGAAAAACGAGAAAAGAAGAUGAACAUUUUUCAAAUUCGUUAGCAUUUUUUAAAAAGUCGAACAUUUUUUGAAAUUCCCAAACAAAAUUAGAAACAGACACAUUCUUGAAAGUUACGAACAAAAUUUGAAAUAGAAACAAUUUUUGAAACAACCAAAUAAAAUUGGAAAACAUGAACAUUUUUCUCAAAUUUGCGAAUGAAUUUUGAAAGAGGAACAUUUUUUACGAACUCCUAAACAAAACUUGAAAAUAUGAACAUUUUUUGAAUUUUGUGAACAAAAUUUUAGAACUAUGAAUAUUUUGAAUUUGUGAACAAAAUUUGGUAAGUAGAAUAAAAUUUUGAAAGAAAGGAAUUUCGAUAGCAUGAGCAGUUUUUAAAAUUGAAGAAUUUUUUUGAAAAUUUAGAACCUUUUUAAAAAUCUCAAACGUUUGGAAAUUCAAACAUUUUUUCAAUACAUGAACAAUAUUUUGAAAACCGGAACACAUUUUUUAAACUUUGAACAUAUUUUUUGAUAAGCGAACAAUUUUUUUAACUUCAAAAAUUUUUGUAAAGAACGAAUAGUUUUUACAUGCAGACAAAAUUUUAAUAGUUUGAAUAUUUUUAAAAUUAUGAAAAAUGAAAAACUGAAGAGGAGGAAAAAUAAAGAAAAGAAACAGAAAGAAAAGGAUGAAAAAAGAAAACUUGUAAAGGUAGAAAAGGAAAAGAUAGAGAAGAAAUAAUAAACAGGAAAAAGGAAAAAAAAGACGAAACAGAAACAGAAAAAAAGUGUUAGGAAGCUUCUAGAAGGUUCCCAAAACCGGAAAAAACGGCUGGGAACAAGCGAGAAGGUUCCUAAAACCGGAACAUCGAAACAUUUUACAGGCCGGCCCACGCGCGAACCCUCGAUCGAUCUCCCUGUGCGUCCGCCGGACAACUUGCGGCAGCGAGCGGCAUUCCAUCCAGAGGCAGCCAACGAUUGCCGCCCUCAAAAGAUUCAGCGUAGCGCUGGGUUUUUUUCCGCACUAAUUAUGUGUUGUACUAUGGCAGAAGAUAUAAUUACUUUAUGCCCAGCCAUAAUUACCUUCAUGUGCUGUGUACUGAAGCCCAAAACAGCCCACGCGCAUUAUCCUGUAUUUAGGCCACUGUGGUAAACUGUACUUUCAUUUGUAUGUUUGGCUUGUCUAAAAAAAAUUGUAUGUUUUCCAAGACCUAGCGUCCAUCUAUUCCGCGCCGCCGUCGCUGCCCUGUCGGUUGCCUUGUGAGUUGCCGGAUGCCACCUACACACCGCCGUCAUGGUUCGUCCAUCCUACACUGGCAGCAGUGCGGUGCGAGUAUUCAGUCCGCAGAUCACUGUAUUGUAUUGGCGUAUCCGUUUCUUGAGCAGUUAGAUCUAUAGGUAUGUAUUAAGUACUAGUUUUUAUUAUGUUGGUGGAUUUCAAUCCAGUAUUCUAGUGAUCUCGUUUACUUGCAUAUAAGACAACAGGUUAAUUCACAAAUUAGGUGUGUCGCUUUUCCAUAGUAGAUGACUUUGAUUAAUUUGGCAAAUCACAUGAUCACUUAACCCAAAUGAAAUUGCUGCAAUAGACCCCAUGGUCUAAAGUCAAUCUAAUAAUAAAGAUUCACAAGGAUCAUUUUCCGUGAAGUUUUAUCUAUUGCGUGGUCAUUCUCUUCCCUCAACCCCUUCAUGUUUAAAUCCUGGCUCCACUUCUGCGCUUGAGAGCAAAGUGUUGAAGAAGAUUAAUUACAAGGAUAUCAUUGAACAUUUCAUUUCAAAGAAUACUAAAAGAAUGACUUGUUCAAAUAAAUAUCAGGCAACCGGGAGUUGAAUAGGUAUGCUUUUUUACACAUCCAAUUGCUAUGUAAGACAUUAUAUCAUAUACGUUAUAUUGCUCAUUAGUUUAUUUUAGUGAGAUGGGGCCCCAUUUUUUAGUUUCGCACAGGGCUCUGGAUUUUGCCGACCCAGCCUUGAUAGACAUGUUCUAAUGUGUUUGUUCAGUCAUUUUAGUCUGUACAUAGUAAUAUUAAAAUAUCCAGAACAUCUCUUAUAUUUAUGAAGCGAGUGAGUACUAGUUAUGUAAUGUGUCUAUUACCGGUGCUCGAGUGUCUGAGUGUUAACUUGGAACCCACUAAGAUGAAUUUCUAGACCCGUCGCUUAUUGCAACGUUAGAUUGAAUCAAUAGAUAAUGAUAUUCUUCUCGCCUAGCUCAUCACCGAGACAUUCGAUUUAAAUAAUCUUGUAUCCUUAUUAUUGGCACAAACGCAAUCAGAAGUUUCUUUCUCUUUGGGUCGCGCUAACUGCCACACGUGUGGCAGGAAGGAAGACGCACCACACGUCUCUAAUGUAAACAGAUUGCCACGUCAUCGCAUGCAUGCAUGCAGGAAUUUUUUUGGAUUUUCAGUUUUUAAAAUGUUUUAUCUCUUAAACGAAAAAUCCGAUUGAAAAUCCGUUUUCACCAUUAAAUCCCUCGCGAUGAGAUCUUCGAAACUAGAUCCAAUGUUGAUAUGUUUUAAUGAAUUUUUUUUUGGAUUAAAAGUUGCCAUGUCUAUUGCAUAUGAAUUGUCAUGAUGUUUACACUGAAGUUGCCAUGAUAUGUUUCAGCUCUUUUCUUCUACAUUUAAAAGUAAAUUUUGACAUUUAUAAAACGGGGAAUUAAGAAACUAGACUUGCCAUGAACCAUAAACUAAAAUUGCCAUGAUACAUGCACGUAAAAUUGCCAUGGUUCAUACAAAAAAUAAUUUUCAUGGUCAAAGUACUAGAGUUGCCAUCAUCAAAAUACUAAAAUUGCCAUGAUCUACAAACUAAAAUUGCCACAUGGCAACUUUAGUUUAAGCCCUAUGGCAACUGCAGUGUAAACAUCGUGGCAACUUCUGACAAAAAAAAAA